rnacentral:pre_miRNA from 13 species
UGAUCUAUUUAUAAUGAAUCAUUUUCUAAUUAUGACAGACUUACAUCUAACUACUCAGAAUUAUCUGUUAUCAUAAAUCCGACUAUAUCAUUAAUAUUGAAAAAUAAAAGACAAUAAUUUUUUAAGAUGUUAACUGGAAU